ACCACCUUUAGCUUCUCCUCCCCUUAUUUUCAUUCCCUUUCUCUUCCUCCAAGUUCUCCUUCUCCACCUUUUUCUCUAACUCCAGCAACCACCACUGGUGUCCUCCACCUUCAUGUUGCUUUCACGUCACUUUCACGCCUCCAUGUCUCCAACGAGCCACCAUUGCAUCACCAUUAAGUCAUCACUGAGUCACCUCCUUCUUCUCCUCC
rnacentral:lncRNA from 1 species